GAGGCGAACCGGGAGAACUGAAACAUCUAAGUACCCCGAGGAAAAGAAAUCAACCGAGAUUCCCUGAGUAGUGGCGAGCGAAAGGGGACCAGCCCUUAAGCCAAUUUGUAGUUAGCAGAACGCUCUGGAAAGUGCGGCCAUAGUGGGUGAUAGCCCCGUAUGCGAAAACUUAUUUUUGGUGAAAUCGAGUAGGUCGGGACACGUGUUAUCCUGACUGAACAUGGGGGGACCAUCCUCCAAGGCUAAAUACUCCCAGAUGACCGAUAGUGAACCAGUACCGUGAGGGAAAGGCGAAAAGAACCCCUGUGAGGGGAGUGAAAUAGAACCUGAAUCCGUGUACGUACAAGCAGUGGGAGCCGACUUAGUUCGGUGACUGCGUACCUUUUGUAUAAUGGGUCAGCGACUUAUAUUCAGUGGCGAGGUUAAGCGUAUAGCGGAGCCGUAGGGAAACCGAGUGUUAACUGCGCGUUCAGUCGCUGGGUAUAGACCCGAAACCGGGCGAUCUAUCCAUGAGCAGGUUGAAGGUUGAGUAACAUCAACUGGAGGACCGAACCCACUCCCGUUGAAAAGGUAGGGGAUGACUUGUGGAUAGGAGUGAAAGGCUAAUCAAGCCCGGAGAUAGCUGGUUCUCCUCGAAAGCUAUUUAGGUAGCGCCUCGUGUCUAACCAUGGGGGGUAGAGCACUGUUAAGGCUAGGGGGUCAUCCCGACUUACCAACCCUUUGCAAACUCCGAAUACCCAUGAGUUCAAUCACGGGAGACACACGGCGGGUGCUAACGUCCGUCGUGAAAAGGGAAACAACCCAGACCGUCAGCUAAGGUCCCAAAGUUACAGUUAAGUGGGAAACGAUGUGGGAAGGCUAAAACAGCUAGGAGGUUGGCUUAGAAGCAGCCACCCUUUAAAGAAAGCGUAAUAGCUCACUAGUCGAGUCGGCCUGCGCGGAAGAUAUAACGGGGCUCAAACUGUACACCGAAGCUACGGAUGCAAUUUAUUGCAUGGUAGAGGAGCGUUCUGUAAGCCGUUGAAGGUCAAGGUGUGAACCAGGCUGGAGGUAUCAGAAGUGCGAAUGCUGACAUGAGUAACGACAAAGGGGGUGAAAAACCCCCUCGCCGGAAACCCAAGGGUUCCUGUCCAACGUUAAUCGGGGCAGGGUGGUCGGCCCCUAAGGCGAGGCAGAAAUGCGUAGUCGAUGGGAAGCAGGUUAAUAUUCCUGCACCUCUUUAUAAUGCGAUGGGGGGACGGAGAAGGCUAGGCCAGCACGGCGUUGGUUGUCCGUGUUUAAGCAUGUAGGCUGGGAACUUAGGCAAAUCCGGGUUCCUAAAGCUGAGACGUGAUGACGGUGACUCUACGGAGUCCGAAGUGGUCGAUGCCAUGCUUCCAGGAAAAGCCUCUAAGCUUCAGUUAUAAAGAGACCGUACCCGAAACCGACACAGGUGGGUAGGUAGAGAAUACCAAGGCGCUUGAGAGAACUCGGGUGAAGGAACUAGGCAAAAUGGCACCGUAACUUCGGGAGAAGGUGCGCCGGUUUUGGUGAAGGACUUGCUCCGUAAGCUGAGACCGGUCGAAGAUACCAGGUGGCUGCAACUGUUUAUUAAAAACAUAGCACUCUGCAAACACGAAAGUGGACGUAUAGGGUGUGACGCCUGCCCGGUGCCGGAAGGUUAAUUGAUGGGGUUAGGGUAACCGAAGCUCUUGAUCGAAGCCCCGGUAAACGGCGGCCGUAACUAUAACGGUCCUAAGGUAGCGAAAUUCCUUGUCGGGUAAGUUCCGACCUGCACGAAUGGCGUAAUGAUGGUCACACUGUCUCCACCCGAGACUCAGUGAAAUUGAAUUCGCAGUUAAGAUGCUGCGUUCCCGCGGCUAGACGGAAAGACCCCGUGAACCUUUACUAUAGCUUCACAGUGAACUUUGAAUUGGCUUGUGUAGGAUAGCUGGGAGGCUUUGAAGCCGAGACGCCAGUCUCGGUGGAGCCAAUCUUGAAAUACCAGCCUGGUCAAUUUGGGGUUCUAACUC
rnacentral:rRNA from 1 species